UCCAUUGCUUAGUUGAUAAAGCACAAAGCUCUUAAACCUUGUGGACGUGGGUUCAAGCCCUACGAUGGAA
rfam:Triticum aestivum genome assembly, contig: Triticum_aestivum_CS42_TGACv1_scaffold_211951_3AS